CUCCCCUUCCACCCCACCCGCCACCCACACUCCGCUCCGCAGCCGGGCCCCGAGCGAGCUCCGCGCGCCCGGGCGGGAGCCGAGGGCUCCCCGGGUUCAAAGGGCCGCAGCCCCGAGGGAAUGCCCUCCUCGCUGUGCCCCGAGGGGCAGAAGCGGACCGCAGGGCGGUGGGACCGGCCCGGGCCACGAUGGUGUUCAGUGACAAGACCCAAACUAUUUGCAAAACUCCAGGACAUGCGUCUUUCUGCGGACAAAAACAGACAUUAUCAAAAGCCUGGAAGGAAUCUUUGACUUUCUCCCAUUUGAACAAACAACAGCUUCAAAGUUGUCGACAGUGUACUAAGCAAAGAUAUGAGAAUAUCCCCAGAAAGGAAAAUACGCCACGACGAAGUUGUUUCCUGUAUGUGAAUGCUGAGAUUUAAGGAAAUAUCGUGGCUCCCCUUUAACUCACAAAUAAAUUCUUUUUUUUUUUUUUGAACAAUUGCUCCCUUUGAGAUUUGCAAAUAGUUCCACUAGUUUACAUAGUUCUUUUUUCCUCCUUCCUUUUAAGUAUACCUCUUAAGUAAGCAGACACUUUAACUUGCCUUCUUAUUAGACAGCUUUUUCUUUAUUGCCUUUUCAUAGCACAGCUAUCAAAAAUAAGAUAAUACGCACGAUCUGGGACCUAAUCAGCUUUCUAGCUGAGUUUAAAGAGUCUAGAGGCUGUUUAAAGGUAGCUCUGGUUAUGUGUGCGGGCUUUACUGCCUUGUUUGCUCGACCACAUUUUGAUGGAGAGGGUAAUGUGUUUGCUAGAUAAGGCAAAAGGGACCAGCCAAAAAAGCAAGGCUCUGUUUGAUAAACCCUGACAUAUUUAGCCAUUUUUCUCCCACAUGAAAGGAAGCUUUAAAACUCUAAGAAAAAUAGAGGUGUCCGUUCAAGCACGCUAAUGUUGAUCAAGACAAAAAAAAAAAAAAAAAAAAAAAAAAAAAGAAGUAAAGAAAAUGGGCAUCUUUUAGUCUAUUAAAUUAAUUAGCUCCAGAGCUUAUCACGCAGUUGAAAAGCUGGAUAAAAUACAAGUCUGUUUCUCGUUGUUGUCAUUUGAUGUGAAGGGUGAGUUCUUUAAGUCAGUGUACGUUGAAAAGACAGUUGUUCUGUUCAGCUUGACUUGCCCUGGUAGAAGGUUUGAACCCUGCAUGAAGGAGCUCAUUAAGCAAAGUUAAACUCUUAUAAGGCCGAUCAGCAUGGACUUGGGAUGAGAACUCAGUCUGAAAUUAGGGUUGAACACACAUGAUGACAGUCUUUGUUAAGUGGCCUAUAGCCUGAAAACAGAUUUAAAAAGC